ACGCUCGACACCUACGGGAUGCAGCAGUGGGGAAUAUUGCACAAUGGGGGAAACCCUGAUGCAGCGACGCCGCGUGAGCGAAGAAGUAUUUCGGUAUGUAAAGCUCUAUCAGCAGGGAAGAUCAUGACGGUACCUGACUAAGAAGCUCCGGCUAAAUACGUGCCAGCAGCCGCGGUAAUCUGAGGCGGGCUGGCAAGGC
rnacentral:rRNA from 1 species